AACUUUUAGCAACGGAUCACUUGGCUCUCGCAUCGAUGAAGAACGCAUCGAAAUGCGAUCAGUAAUGUGAAUUGCAGAAUUCAGUGAAUCAUCGAAUCUUUGAACGCACCUUGCGCCCUUUGGCUAUUCUUAAGGGCAUGCCUGUUUGAGUAUCCUGAACACCUCAACUCUCAUGGCCUGCCAUGAUGAGCUUGGACUUUGGAGGUCUUGCCGGCGUACUGUCGGCUCCUCUCAAACGAAUCAGCUUGCCAGUGUUUGGUGGCAUCACAGGUGUGAUAACUAUCUACGCUUGUGGUUUUCCGCCGGGCAACCUCCAGCGAUGGAGGUUCGCUGGAGCUCACAAACGUCUCUCCUAAGCGAGGACAGCUUUUCGAACGUUUGAUCUCAAAUCAGGUAGGACUACCCGCUGAACUUAAGCAUAUCAAUAAGCGGAGGCU
rnacentral:misc_RNA from 1 species